GGCUCGUCCCGCUGGACUGGAGUGAGGAAGGACAGAUCGGUCUGCGCAUAGAAGUGUACGGCUGCUCCUACUCGUAACACACCUUCCUGGCCACCAGCUUCCUGCAGCUGCCAGGACGAGCAGAUCACAACACGAUAUCUGUGAGCUUCCAGUUUCUUAUGCUGAACCCGAUGGGCUUCUCCUCUUCAGUAAUCUCGAUGAUGGCACUCUGGAGAUCUCCCUGGAGGAGAGCAAGGUGGUGGUUCAUGUCAACGUGACAAAGGGGACCAGCAACAACCGGGUCGACUUAUCAUCAGGUUCAAGCCUUAACGACGGCCAAUGGCACUCAAUAAGUUUGGUCGCCAAGGAGAACUUUGCCAUGUUGACGAUAGACGGCGAGGAGGCGUCUGCUGUGAGCUCCACUUCACCUCUCAGCAUCACCACAGGAGGAACUUAUCACUUGGGAGGUAAAGGGUCACCCCCAACACCCUUCACUUCAUUCUGCAUCCACUGACAUCCCAUCAAAUUCCUGUCAAGUUCCCAUCAAUACCCAAAGAUUUAGCAAAAUUCUGACAGAGAUGGAUGAGUUUUUAACAUUUUAUUUACAAAAAGAUUUCAAAUUAAUUUUAAGCAUCAGUUGCUUAAAGAUGCUUUAUUAAAAGUUUAACAGAACGCUCUUAAUAUUUACAUAUACACAAAAUAAAAAGUCCUGUAAGUAGUCAAUAUAUUAAUUCAUGAUCCCAAGGAAUACUAUGCAUAAUCCAUUUUGCCACUUUUGUAAUGUUUGUGAUUCAAUUCCUUGAUUUCAGGUGAUGUUUACACAUAAACAUAAAAUGUUCGACCAAUAAGUGCGACUGAGAUUAUUAGGUAUUUUGAGGAGACAAGGUUUUUAUUACAGUGCAAUGAAUAAAUAUCUUCAAAAGCAAGAAACUUUGCCUCGUGCUUAUUUUUGAAGUUUUUAAAAAAAUACAAAUAAAAACAUGGGAAACAAACAAGGUGAGAAAAUGGAAAUGAAAGAGAAGUGAUGAGAUUUAACAUGCCUCGUCAAAAACGAUCAAAUUAAAGCAUUUUACAAUAAAACCUAACAUUAUAAAUUAAAGGGUAACAAAAUAACGUAAAUGUGGACUGCAACUGCUUGAAGUAAGUUUAAUAUAAAAAAUGAAGUCCCUAAUAGACUUCUGUAUAUUUUAGUUGCACAUAUAUAAGAGGCUGAAUAUUACACAGCAACAAGAUUUCAGUCAGGACCCCUUUGUCAAGAAAAAAUACUCCAUUGCAAUUAUUUAUAUUUGGCAGUAUGGCUCUGGUCUGGGAUCUCCCUGCCCUUCCACAUGAUUACAUGGAAGGCAUAAGGCAGGGAGAGAAGCAGCAAAGCCAAACAGAGCAGGCAUCAAUGACAACAGCAUGACAUUGAUUAAGUCUGAACAGCAUGAAAGGAUGAGCUGGGGUGGAGGAGAGUUGCAAAUGCGGCUUGCAGAGGGAGCAACAAAUAGUAGGCAGGCUAGAACAGUUAAAAUAAGGUGACAUAAGUACUCUUUGGCCAAUCUAGGAUCCUUUGAAGGAAAUCAGCUAGCCAUCAGCUGAUGAGGUUUGCAUGAGAUCAGCUGUUACUAAAAGUCUGGCAUGAUAGUAGAGUGUGACUCCAUGGCCUUCCUGACCUAACGCUGCGCUCAACUAUAUAAAACAAUAAGCAAAUAAAAAAUGAACAAAAAAAGUUGUAUAAUGAAACUUGAUGAAAUGCAUCUAAUCCACUAAUUUUUUCUUCACUUGAGCGUAGACAUCUUCUGGGCCGUCAGCAGGCUGUGUUCGGCUGCUUGCUGGCUUGGACCCUUUGACCUGUGCAUACAACGUAUCCUGUUGCUGUCCACUGUCCUGCACUGAGACAGAGAGCUGUCCCCGCACUAAAAAGUUGAUCUCCUCGUAAUGGAUGGUUUCCUCUGUUUCAUUCAGUGGUUGAUGAGGAGCCAGUACACUAUCUCCUUGACUCUGAAAUCAAAUAAGAAAACAUCUUAAAGGCAGGUGCUAUGUUGUCUCCCUAAGUGAUAAAACUUCUGAGGAGAGCCUGCCUUUUUUUUUUUUUUUUACUUUGUCUCAAUAACUCAAUCUAUAAUUGCAAUCUAAAAUGAUAGUCAUCUAUUGUAACAUCUGGCAGUCACUUAGGGUAAAUAUUUUGUAUCAACUUAUCUCUAUCUAACAAAGCAAACUGUUAAUGCACAAAUUUAAACCAAAUAUUCACUUUACUAUUCUUUAUAAUGAUGCUAGGUGAAAAGUUACCUUGAUGAAAGAAAUCAAUAUGUACAAAAAUUAAUCCAAAUCUAAAAGAUUAAUGGUUACUUGUGGGGUUCCUCAAGGGUGGCUUGUAGGUCCUGAUUUUUUAAAAUACUGUAUAUUAAUGACAUCUGUUGAGUUUCUUUACUUUUAAAAUGUGUAUUAUUUACUGAUGAUCUUUACUGCUCUGGAAAUAUCUGCUUCUGAAUACAUGUAAAUAAAGUUCAAUUUUUGGCAACUGGAAACUCAAAAAUCAAGUUAAAAUCCAGAUCAAAGAUGUUGCGAUAUAGAAAUGGAAAAUGAAAACACAUUUCAUGGUGGGAUCAUUGACGAUAAACUUUUUUUGAAGCUCCAUAAAAUUAAAUCUAAAAUGUCACACUACAUUGUCAUAUUAAAUAAAAGUGAGGAUAUUCUG